CCUACGGGUUGCAGCAGUGGGGAAUAUUGCACAAUGGGCGCAAGACUGAUGCAGCCAUGCCGCGUGUAUGAAGAAGGCCUUCGGGUUGUAAAGUACUUUCAGCGGGGAGGAAGGCGAUAAGGUUAAUAACCUUGUCGAUUGACGUUACCCGCAGAAGAAGCACCGGCUAACUCCGUGCCAGCAGCCGCGGUAAUACGGAGGGUGCAAGCGUUAAUCGGAAUUACUGGGCGUAAAGCGCACGCAGGCGGUCUGUCAAGUCGGAUGUGAAAUCCCCGGGCUCAACCUGGGAACUGCAUUCGAAACUGGCAGGCUGGGGUCUUGUAGAGGGGGGUAGAAUUCCAGGUGUAGCGGUGAAAUUCGUAGAUAUUCGGAGGAACACCAGUGGCGAAGGCGGCUUACUGGUCUGCAACUGACGCUGAGGCGCGAAGGCGUGGGGAGCAAACAGGAUUAGAUACCCCUGUAGUC
rnacentral:rRNA from 1 species